GACGAACGCUGGCGGCGUGCCUAAUACAUGCAAGUAGAACGCUGAAGAGAGGAGCUUGCUCUUCUUGGAUGAGUUGCGAACGGGUGAGUAACGCGUAGGUAACCUGCCUUGUAGCGGGGGAUAACUAUUGGAAACGAUAGCUAAUACCGCAUAACAAUGGAUGACACAUGUCAUUUAUUUGAAAGGGGCAAUUGCUCCACUACAAGAUGGACCUGCGUUGUAUUAGCUAGUAGGUGAGGUAAUGGCUCACCUAGGCGACGAUACAUAGCCGACCUGAGAGGGUGAUCGGCCACACUGGGACGGAGACCCGGCCCAGACUCCUACGGGAGGCAGCAGGAGGGAAUCUUCGGCAAUGGGGGCAACCCUGACCGAGCAACGCCGCGUGAGUGAAGAAGGUUGUCGGAUCGUAAAGCUCGGUUGUAAGUCAAGAACGGGUGUGAGAGUGGAAAGUUCACACUGUGACGGUAGCUUACCAGAAAGGGACGGCUAACUACGUG
rnacentral:rRNA from 1 species